rnacentral:rRNA from 1 species
CCCCUAGAUGUUCUGGGCCGCACGCGCGCUACACUGAACAGUUCAACAAGUCUUAACCUUGGCCGAAAGGUCUGGGUAAUCUUUGAAAGGUAGUCGUGAUGGGGAUAGAUCCUUGCAAUUUUUGAUCUUCAACGAGGAAUUCCUAGUAAACGCAAGUCAUCAGCUUGCAUUGAUUACGUCCCUGCCCUUUGUACACACCGCCCGUCGCACCUACCGAUUGAAUGGUCCGGUGAAUCUUUAGGACUGUGGCUGAGGCCUUGCCUUGUGCGGGUCUGGCCGUGGGAAUUUAGUUAAACCUUACCAUUUAGAGGAAGGUGAAGUCGUAACA